GAUGAACGCUGGCGGCGUGCUUAACACAUGCAAGUCGAACGAAGCACUCUAUUUGAUUUUUUUCGGAAAUGAAGAUUUUGUGACUGAGUGGCGGACGGGUGAGUAACGCGUGGGUAACCUGCCUCAUACAGGGGGAUAACAGUUGGAAACGACUGCUAAUACCGCAUAAGCGCACAGUACUGCAUGGUACAGUGUGAAAAACUCCGGUGGUAUGAGAUGGACCCGCGUCUGAUUAGCUAGUUGGUGGGGUAACGGCCUACCAAGGCGACGAUCAGUAGCCGACCUGAGAGGGUGACCGGCCACAUUGGGACUGAGACACGGCCCAAACUCCUACGGGAGGCAGCAGUGGGGAAUAUUGCACAAUGGGGGAAACCCUGAUGCAGCGACGCCGCGUGGACGAAGAAGUAUUUCGGUAUGUAAAGUUCUAUCAGCAGGGAAGAUAAUGACGGUACCUGACUAAGAAGCACCGGCUAAAUACGUGCCAGCCGCCGCAGUAA
rnacentral:rRNA from 1 species